rnacentral:sRNA from 1 species
UAAAGCUAUACUCCGGGAUUCACCUAAG